AUUGAACGCUGGCGGCAUGCCUUACACAUGCAAGUCGGACGGCAGCGCGGGGGCAACCCUGGCGGCGAGUGGCGAACGGGUGAGUAAUACAUCGGAACGUGUCCUGGAGUGGGGGAUAGCCCGGCGAAAGCCGGAUUAAUACCGCAUACGCUCUGUGGAGGAAAGCGGGGGAUCUUCGGACCUCGCGCUCAAGGGGCGGCCGAUGGCAGAUUAGCUAUUGUGGGGUAAAGGCCUACCAAGGCGACGAUCUGUAGCUGGUCUGAGAGGACGACCAGCC
rnacentral:rRNA from 2 species